rnacentral:lncRNA from 1 species
UCCAUGCAGCCUCAUUUUAAACAUCUGCAUUGUUAUUGCAUGAAGUUAGCCAGUUACCAAAAAAUUAAUCCAGGUGAACUGAGUCCAGCAUCUGAAUACGCAGUGCCAGGUACAAACACCUCUACCUGCCCCCUUCCCCUCAGCCUUUAUGCCCACUACCACCAGGAUGAUGCCAGAGAGGGCCUUGGUGGCCAGAGCCAGUCUGCAUGUCAAAGACCCGAGCUCCCAUUUGGGCUCCACCACACACUGAGUGAUCCUGGGAAAGUCACUUUUUCUUCUCUGUAGAACAGAGAUAAUAAUCUCCAU